rnacentral:rRNA from 1 species
GAUGAACGCUGGCGGCGUGCCUAAUACAUGCAAGUCGAGCGAACAGAUGAGGAGCUUGCUCCUCUGACGUUAGCGGCGGACGGGUGAGUAACACGUGGAUAACCUACCUAUAAGACUGGGAUAACUUCGGGAAACCGGAGCUAAUACCGGAUAAUAUAUUGAACCGCAUGGUUCAAUAGUGAAAGACGGUUUUGCUGUCACUUAUAGAUGGAUCCGCGCCGCAUUAGCUAGUUGGUAAGGUAACGGCUUACCAAGGCAACGAUGCGUAGCCGACCUGAGAGGGUGAUCGGCCACACUGGAACUGAGACACGGUCCAGACUCCUACGGGAGGCAGCAGUAGGGAAUCUUCCGCAAUGGGCGAAAGCCUGACGGAGCAACGCCGCGUGAGUGAUGAAGGGCUUCGGAUCGUAAAACUCUGUUAUUAGGGAAGAACAAAUGUGUAAGUAACUAUGCACGUCUUGACGGUACCUAAGCAGAAAGCCACGGCUAACUACGU